rnacentral:misc_RNA from 1 species
GAUGAAGAACGUAGCGAAAUGCGAUAAGUAAUGUGAAUUGCAGAAUUCAGUGAAUCAUCGAAUCUUUGAACGCACAUUGCGCCCGCCAGUAUUCUGGCGGGCAUGUCUGUUCGAGCGUCAUUUCAACCCUCAAGCCCAGCUUGGUGUUGGGGAUCGGCACAGGCGCCCUCGGGCGCCCGCCGUCCCCUAAAUCUAGUGGCGGUCCCGCUGCAGCCUCCUCUGCGUAGUAGUUUUCUCCUCGCAAGGGCAGCUCGGUGGCGACCUCGCCGUAAAACCCCCAACUUCUGAAAGGUUGACCUCGAAUCAGGUAGGAAUACCCGCUGAACUUAAGCAUAUCAAUAAGCGGAGG